AUGUUGCUGGAAUAUUGCUAAAAGUGGCGUAAAACCAAACUCAGUCAGUCAGUCAUCAUUAUAAAACACUGUGAAAAGUUCCAGGUGACUGGUAAAGCCCAUCUCCAUCAUUUACUCCAUAACAAUUAAUUCCAAGUCCCUAUUCUCACAAGUGUGACAUCUUAUCUUUCAGUAGUCCCGUGCAAGGCACCCCCUCAGAUCUGGUGACCACCCCCAGAGACAUAUCCUGCUGUAACAAGUGCCCAACUUAACCGUGACCUGCCUUCUCCUACCCCCGGGCUAAAUACUCGCCUCAUUUCUCCAGGGCUCUGACAGGACAUUAGUACCUCCGUGAGUCCGAGGUGAUGGUCACAAUGUAACUCUGGCCAUAACACCUGUCCAGGUAGAUGUUUAUACUGACGAAUCACCCCUGACCAGGAGUUCACUGUUGAUUAAUGUGUAUUAAUGAUGGAACUGGCACAAAGGACCUGCUGUCACGUCUUCCAUGAACGAGAGUGGCGGGGUAGC